rnacentral:lncRNA from 1 species
UAAGCCCCAAAUCGAAUUAGUCCAAACCCUAAGCCCCAAAUCGAUCUCGUCCGAACCUUAAGCCCCAAAUCGAAUUAGUCCAAACCCUAAGCCCCAAAUCGAUCUCGUCCGAACCCUAAGCCCCAAAUUGAUCUCGUCCGAACCCUAAACCCCAAAUCGAAUUCGUUCGAACCCUAAGCCCCAAAUCGAUCUCAUCCGAACCCUAAACCCCAAAUCAAUUUCAUCCGAACCCUAAGCCCCAAAUCAAAUUUGAUGAUCUGCAGUUAUCUUGCGAUUUGGGUCCUCAUCAACCUCG